GACGUAGGGCGCGAGCGUUGUCCGGAUUUAUUGGGCGUAAAGAGCUCGUAGGCGGCUUGUCGCGUCGACUGUGAAAACCCGCGGCUCAACUGCGGGCCUGCAGCCGAUACGGGCAGGCUAGAGUUCGGAAGAGGCGAGUGGAAUUCCCGGUGUAGCGGUGAAAUGCGCAGAUAUCGGGAGGAACACCAAUGGCGAAGGCAGCUCGCUGGGACGGUACUGACGCUGAGGAGCGAAAGCAUGGGGAGCGAACAGG
rnacentral:rRNA from 1 species